GGGAGAACUUCCUCCCUCACUCCAAGCCAAGAGCAGUUCAGUGUAUGCGAUGAACUAUUAUUGGAUAAGGCUGCACACACACCCCUCAGCAUUUCCUGAUUUUGGACUUCUGCCAGGGUAGAGUUUACUUGAAAAAGAAAGGAUGUAAAGAGAGGAGCUGCUCAACACAGGGGUUGAAUAGUCAGGGAUAUCACGCUGGCGACCAUCCCCCCACGCCACUCCACCCUCCAGCUCUCCCGCACUGUCCGUGUCCGACCUGAUCUAUCUUCGGAAGACCUUUGAAAUAAAGCCUGAAGAUUUUAAACGCAACGCAUCUGAGAAUGAGGAACCUUUAAUGCCCUGGCUUCAGACUCUGCAGAAAAAUAAAAAGGAGCUGGAAGAAGUCCGGAAAUCCCCAGAAUGGAAAGAAUUGAAGUGGAGGGGCACAUGACAGGGGGAGACUUGGGGACAGAAGAGAGUUAGAGGGUUCAGUGUAAGGGCAGUGGGUUGGAGUAAGGGGAGAGGAGUUAGUAAGGCUAUAUAAGACAGGGGGAGGGAGACAUAGGGGCAGUUGGCAUGUGGCCACAGGAGAAGAAGUCCCGCCCGCCCUGGGGAAAGGUUUCCUUGUUACAGCAGAGGUAGCAGGAUAGGGACUUGGAGGCACGUGUGGUAUUUGUGGCAGAUGGAAAGGUGGUCUGUGGUGGGUUGAGGACGGUACCCAACCCUGGUGUAUAGUUCCCUGUGGCCACGGGGCCCCAGGGAGGGUUGUGAGUCUCCGAAAACUGGUGCCCCCGGGUGUGGUGACACACGGCUGGGGGUAAUUUGUAGGCCCUUGAAAUUAAUGGUGCCUUCAAGUCCUUAUCCAGACAGGUAUAAGUUAGAAUGUUGGUAUUUUGUAUUCUGUUAUUUUGGUUGUAUGAUGUUCACACGGGUAGGGUUGUUUCUGUUGACAAUGUUUAAAUUGCUGUGUAAAUAAAAAUGGAUUC